CAAAGUAGAGCUUGAAAGUUAAGCACUUCACUUACACUGAAAUGGUAUCUGUGCGAUUCAGAUUACUUUGA
rnacentral:tRNA from 1 species